CCUACGGGAGGCAGCAGUGGGGAAUAUUGGACAAUGGGGGGAACCCUGAUCUAGCCAUGCCGCGUGUGUGAAGAAGGCCCUCGGGUUGUAAAGCACUUUCAGUGAGGAAGAACGCCUGGUGGUUAAUACCCAUCAGGAAAGACAUCACUCACAGAAGAAGCACCGGCUAACUCCGUGCCAGCAGCCGCGGUAAUACGGAGGGUGCGAGCGUUAAUCGGAAUUACUGGGCGUAAAGCGCGCGUAGGUGGCUUGAUAAGCCGGUUGUGAAAGCCCCGGGCUCAACCUGGGAACGGCAUCCGGAACUGUCAAGCUAGAGUGCAGGAGAGGAAGGUAGAAUUCCCGGUGUAGCGGUGAAAUGCGUAGAGAUCGGGAGGAAUACCAGUGGCGAAGGCGGCCUUCUGGACUGACACUGACACUGAGGUGCGAAAGCGUGGGUAGCAAACAGGAUUAGAUACCCCAGUAGUC
rnacentral:rRNA from 1 species